rnacentral:sRNA from 1 species
ACUCCACGGAGUGCCGUCAGUCAGCGAGGGUUCGCACACUGGCGCAAUUUUU